GGGCAAUUGGUUUAGUGGUAUAAUUUUCCCUUAGCACUUCGGUUGCCUCUCUAGUAAUCGAACCCUGUGAAUAAGCUGGGAAAGGUCCUGGGUUCGAUUCCCAGAUUGUCCA